ensembl:lncRNA
CAAAAAACCGGAGCAGCAGAGUGACCAACAGAGACCAGAAGUUAAGCAGAAAAAUGCACGUGAGCAACACCAACAGAUUCCUGAGCAACUGGAAAGACAUCGUCCACUCAAAUCAGUCAAUCAGAAGCGGCCAGCCGCCGAAAAGACCGACGUUCUCUACGACUCCGAAGCAAGUCCUGGCGCGGUCGGAUCCAGAGCUCACGGGAAGAGAAAACAUCAGAUUUCAGCGGCAACCAAAUCGCACACCUACAACACUUUGGUGGCUUGGUUUCUGUCUUUGGUUGGCCGCCCACUCCACGAUGAAGACGAGGCUGCUGCCAAGGUCCCUUUCUGGGUUGCAGGACUCCAGCAGCAGUGGACAGACGAUGGACAUGCUCUGUUUGUCGUGGUUGUGGCUCGUCACUCUUACGCACCAAAGAAAAGGAACAAAGACAUCCAUACACCUUUCUACAACCACGUCUGCAGCUUCCUCACUGAGACCUCGCUCCCUCUGAUCGCCAGCUGGGUACCGGCGGUCAGAAACCUGCUGGACCAACAAGCCUUCGCCUCCCCCAUCCAUCUGCCGUCAUGCAGUCUAAACGGUUUCAUCUCCACCACCUCCAACCAAAAGGUUAUUGACAGGACAUUUGGUCUCGACCCCGGCUUUUACUGGCAGACUCUGGAAACUCCGGAGCAUGUUUGCAGGGGGAGAGAGACCACACAAGCGCUGCACACAGAAGUAUCUGUCGCUGUGGGGUGCGAAGCAUUCAUCCUCCAUCCUGUCAUAACACACUACACCCUCCAACUGGUUCUUGAUUCGGGACUCGAUGUGUGUGGUCUGCGGCUCCUUUAUCCAACACGGGAGUUCCUGAGUGAUAGGGCUGGUGCUGGACCAGUUCUUCAGAGAGCCGGUGCGACCUGCCAGCCUGUCCUGGCCCUUGCUGUGCGGGGCCUUCGUGCCCACUCCGUGUUGAGCAAUCUGACUAGUUCCUCGGACCCUCUGGUGCCCGGAGGGACCGACCCUCUGGAGCCUCCUCUCUUCUUCUCCUCUCGACCGGCCAGCCAGGUGCACAGGGAGCUGUGCUUGUGGUUUUCAGGAAGAGUUAGCCCUUACAACCGGCUCCCGAGCAGGGUUGUUCCCUCGAAUGAGCGAAGAGGAGUCUUUCUGUGCGCCACAACGAAAAUGCUGGCAGUGUGUGAACGCAGAGGCUUCGGUCUGGGGGGGCUGCAGAGGCUGCGGCUUCAGAGCAACGGCGCUGCAGACCUGGGACUCUCCGAGCAGCAGGCUCGAGUGUUCUGCAUUCCACGCCGGGGUCAGCUGGAGCUGCUCUCUCCCUGUCUGGUGUUGUUACUGAGGAAAGAAAAUGCUGUGCACCACACUGUUUGUCUGCCAGCAGCCCUGAUGAGAGAAUUUAAGACACCAAAGCUUCUGGGUCGCAUCCGGUCCAGAGUCGAUGGGGUUCGGGCAGCGGAGCCCAGCUUGUGUUUCCACACUGCGCCUUACAGCAGCAACCUGUACCACGUCUUUGGACACGAGACGCGGCCUGAGCCUCUUGCACAGAGUGCUGACAGAGGAGCCAGAAGGCUCGGGAGCUGAAUCCAUACGAAGUGGGGCAGCAGCUCUUUCAAGACAGCGUGGGCCAUCUGAUGCCCCGUCCUGCCCUAGUGUGUGCUCUUAAACGCGCGGAUGCUCUGGCUUCACUGAGGAAACUCUUACCACAAGAUUACCCCGGGGACCUCAGUGUCCUGAUGUCCCCCACGCUUUCAGACAAGCCCCCCUGUUCUUCUUUGAGCACGAGAUGAUUGCUGGUAGGUUUGAGGGCUGCAUACAACAUGCGAUCAGAUACUGAGUCUAAAACCAUUCGAGUCUUUUGAGUCAAGCGCCAGAUUGAAGAAUUAUUUAAGAAGAAAAGUCUUGUGUGUGUCCGACGAGAUAUAGUUUGUGCAGCACAGGGCAUUGUGCCAAAUGAUAUUAUCAUAUUAAUAGCUUACUAAGUUACAGUGAAUUCUGUUCCAAGUUGAUGCGAUAAUAAAGAGGAUUCUGUUCAGACCUUCAGAUGCUGGUCACUUUGUGCCUGUUCAAGCCAACAAUCUGGAAUCACUCGCUGGCUAAAAUAGCCCACAAACUGCAGCUGUGUGGCCUCACAAUGGUGGGCCUGCGUGUGUUGACCCUGGAUAAACGCACUGCCACCUCACUACUGCCUGCACAGAGUGUAACUGAUCAUCAUUAUCCCUCUCAAGCUUUCCAUUGAUACAAAAAUGUAAGGCCUCGAUGGUCCAACACGCGUUCACUGCUGCGUGCAGGACCCCUCGGACUUGGAGGCCCACGUGGGGUACCUGUGCUCCGGCUCCUCAUUGGCUCUCUGCCUCCGGGGGGAAAAUGCUGUAAGCAGGCUGCUGGAUGCGCUGGACCAAGAUGUCUCGUCACAGUGGACCCAUCGUGGCGUGGCUCAUUCAUACAAUGGCAUUUAUGGUCAGUGCGCGGUUCUACUAGUGCACACUGCUACACGAUUAAGAAGUGCAUUGCUAUGUGUGCAACAGCACCGGUGUAUUAUGCAAAGCCCUUUGAAUUACCUUCAACUUGUCUCACGGCCCUGUAUGAUGAAACAGCCUGUAACCAAUU